AGUUUGAUCAUGGCUCAGAUUGAACGCUGGCGGCAGGCUUAACACAUGCAAGUCGAGCGGAGAGAAGUAGCUUGCUACUGAUCUUAGCGGCGGACGGGUGAGUAAUACUUAGGAAUCUGGCUAUUAGUGGGGGACAACAUUUCGAAAGGGAUGCUAAUACCGCAUACGUCCUACGGGAGAAAGCAGGGGAUCUAAUGACCUUGCGCUAAUAGAUGAGCCUAAGUCGGAUUAGCUAGUUGGUGGGGUAAAGGCCUACCAAGGCGACGAUCUGUAGCGGGUCUGAGAGGAUGAUCCGCCACACUGGGACUGAGACACGGCCCAGACUCCUACGGGAGGCAGCAGUGGGGAAUAUUGGACAAUGGGGGGAACCCUGAUCCAGCCAUGCCGCGUGUGUGAAGAAGGCCUUAUGGUUGUAAAGCACUUUAAGCGAGGAGGAGGGUACUGGUAUUAAUACUACCAGCUACUGGACGUUACUCGCAGAAUAAGCACCGGCUAACUCUGUGCCAGCAGCCGCGGUAAUACAGAGGGUGCGAGCGUUAAUCGGAUUUACUGGGCGUAAAGCGUGCGUAGGCGGCUAAUUGAGUCGGAUGUGAAAUCCCCGAGCUUAACUUGGGAAUUGCAUUCGAUACUGGUUAGCUAGAGUGUGGGAGAGGAUGGUAGAAUUCCAGGUGUAGCGGUGAAAUGCGUAGAGAUCUGGAGGAAUACCGAUGGCGAAGGCAGCCAUCUGGCCUAACACUGACGCUGAGGUACGAAAGCAUGGGGAGCAAACAGGAUUAGAUACCCUGGUAGUCCAUGCCGUAA
rnacentral:rRNA from 1 species